rnacentral:lncRNA from 1 species
UCCAUACCCCGUCCGGUAUGGGAGACCACAAUCCCGGUAGGGUUCCCUACGGACCCGGUCCGUCCACCAUCUCCCAAGAUAUCUAGUCAGGCUGAACACAUUAUACAAUUUCCAUUUACAUAAUCUUUCAUUCUCCUUUUCCCUCAGUCAGCAUUAUCAAUCACAUACAAACAAGCAAAACGAUAAUUUAUGCCAAACAGACAACAUACAGCAUCAAUAUCCCGGUCAUUCAAUCCAUAAUCAAUAAAACAGUAAAAUAUGCACAGGAAACUAUAAAAUGAAAACAUCGAACCUCAUGUUGUAUUUAAAACUGUAAAACAGGCCAAAUAACAGUUAACCGACAAACACACUAGACUCGGACUCCAUUAGUGACCUUAAGCAAUUUCACACAUUCGUUGAUUCAUGAAAUACCGUUUUAUCAUUUAUUGAACUUUAAAACCGUGAUAGAAAAUAAGGUGAGGGGUCCUUACUCGUUUCGGGGUCCGAACACGGCUUCACAGUGCGCUUGCAGGCUGUCCCUAAU